UACGGAGGGUGCAAGCGUUAUCCGGAUUCACUGGGUUUAAAGGGUGCGUAGGCGGAUAGGUAAGUCAGGGGUGAAAUCUCCGAGCUUAACUCGGAAACUGCCGUUGAUACUAUCUGUCUUGAAUACUGUGGAGGUAAGCGGAAUAUGUCAUGUAGCGGUGAAAUGCCUAGAUAUGACAUAGAACACCUAUUGCGAAGGCGACUUCCUGGCCUGUUCUUGACGCUGAGGCGCGAAAGCUAGGGGAGCAAACGGG
rnacentral:rRNA from 1 species